GGAGCAGGUGAUGAGAACAAGACAGGGACAUCAGAACCCUCUUUUGGGCAUGAUAGACUGAAGUCUUCAAUGGGAAUCUCUCUGAUGCUUU
rfam:Dichanthelium oligosanthes cultivar Kellogg 1175 unplaced genomic scaffold Do_version_2_scaffold6248, whole genome shotgun sequence.